rnacentral:tRNA from 1 species
GCCUGGGUGGCUCAGUCGGUAGAGUGUCUGACUUCAGCUCAGGUCAUGAUCUCGCGGUUCGUGAGUUCGAGCCCCGCGUUGGGCU